GAUGUCAUGGUCCGCUCUUCUGUACUGGCAACCUUGACUGCCUUCCAAAUCUGCCCUAGCAUGUCUUUCUCCCCUGCAGGUACAUGGCAUCAGGAGAAAAAAUGGGGUAUGUGGGGCAUGCUGUACCAUCAUUUAUUUGUGCCUCUGACUUUUACAACUGUUUCAAGUCAUUAGUUCAAGCACUUCUCCUUUAGAAGCAUGUUACCUGCUAGUUUUGCGUUUUAGUGACGGGAGGGUGCUAUGUACAUCAGGCACAUGGGCUGGCCUAUUGAAAUCUGGUGAGGUGACAGCCCAUAUUCUUUAUUCUCGAUGCUGCUUGCCUGCACCACUCAGAGAGCCCCAUGGGAUUGCGGUUGAGAGGCACAAUGGUGUGGUCAUUAGCUCAGUGACCAUUAAAACUCUCUGUUGCUCUCAUCCCAUUCAAAAAUAAAGUUGAAAAUGGAUAGAUAGCUGAAAAGUAA